UACAGAGGGUGCAAACGUUGCUCGGAAUUACUGGGCGUAAAGCGCGUGGAGGCGGUCUGUUAAGUUGGUAGUGAAAGCCCAUGGCUCAACCAUGGAAGCGCUGCCAAAACUGGCAGGCUGGAGCGCCGGAGAGGGUGGCGGAAUUCCCAGUGUAGAGGUGAAAUUCGUAGUUAUUGGGAGGAACACCGGUGGCGAAGGCGGCCACCUGGACGGUAACUGACGCUAAGACGCGAAAGCGUGGGGAGCAAACGGG
rnacentral:rRNA from 1 species